rnacentral:rRNA from 1 species
UACGUAGGGUGCGAGCGUUAAUCGGAAUUACUGGGCGUAAAGCGUGCGCAGGCGGUGAUGUAAGACCGAUGUGAAAUCCCCGGGCUUAACCUGGGAACUGCAUUGAUGACUGCAUCGCUCGAGUAUGGCAGAGGGGGGUAGAAUUCCACGUGUAGCAGUGAAAUGCGUAGAGAUGUGGAGGAAUACCGAUGGCGAAGGCAGCCCCCCUGGGUCAAUACUGACGCUCAUGCACGAAAGCGUGGGGAGCAAACAGG